AACGAACGCUGGCGGCAGGCCUAACACAUGCAAGUCGAACGCUGUAGCAAUACAGAGUGGCAGACGGGUGAGUAACGCGUGGGAACAUGCCCUUCGGUUCGGAAUAACUCAGGGAAACUUGAGCUAAUACCGGAUACGCCCUUAGGGGGGAAGAUUUAUUGCCGAAGGAUUGGCCCGCGUCCGAUUAGCUAGUUGGUGAGGUAAUGGCUCACCAAGGCGACGAUCGGUAGCUGGUCUGAGAGGAUGAGCAGCCACACUGGGACUGAGACACGGCCCAGACUCCUACGGGAGGCAGCAGUGGGGAAUAUUGGACAAUGGGCGCAAGCCUGAUCCAGCCAUGCCGCGUGAGUGAUGAAGGCCCUAGGGUUGUAAAGCUCUUUCGCCAGGGACGAUAAUGACGGUACCUGGAUAAGAAGCCCCGGCUAACUUCGUGCCAGCCGCCGCCGUAACAC
rnacentral:rRNA from 1 species